UCCGGAAUUGGUUCGACAACAGAGUUUGAUCCUGGCUCAGAACGAACGCUGGCGGCAGGCUUAACACAUGCAAGUCGAACGGUCUCUUCGGAGGCAGUGGCAGACGGGUGAGUAACGCGUGGGAAUCUACCUUUUGCUACGGAACAACAGUUGGAAACGACUGCUAAUACCGUAUGUGCCCUUCGGGGGAAAGAUUUAUCGGCAAAGGAUGAGCCCGCGUUGGAUUAGCUAGUUGGUAGGGUAAAGGCCUACCAAGGCGACGAUCCAUAGCUGGUCUGAGAGGAUGAUCAGCCACACUGGGACUGAGACACGGCCCAGACUCCUACGGGAGGCAGCAGUGGGGAAUAUUGGACAAUGGGCGCAAGCCUGAUCCAGCCAUGCCGCGUGAGUGAUGAAGGCCCUAGGGUUGUAAAGCUCUUUCACCGGUGAAGAUAAUGACGGUAACCGGAGAAGAAGCCCCGGCUAACUUCGUGCCAGCAGCCGCGGUAAUACGAAGGGGGCUAGCGUUGUUCGGAUUUACUGGGCGUAAAGCGCACGUAGGCGGACUUUUAAGUCAGGGGUGAAAUCCCGGGGCUCAACCCCGGAACUGCCUUUGAUACUGGAAGUCUUGAGUAUGGUAGAGGUGAGUGGAAUUCCGAGUGUAGAGGUGAAAUUCGUAGAUAUUCGGAGGAACACCAGUGGCGAAGGCGGCUCACUGGACCAUUACUGACGCUGAGGUGCGAAAGCGUGGGGAGCAAACAGGGUUAGAUACCCUGGUAGUCCACGCCGUAAACGAUCAAUCUUGUCCGUUCGGGAUUCUACUCUUCGGAGCGCAGCUUACGCAUAAUCCACCAUUAGGCGCGCAGAACAAUCAGA
rnacentral:rRNA from 1 species